rnacentral:rRNA from 1 species
UGGGGAAUAUUGGACAAUGGGCGAAAGCCUGAUCCAGCAAUGCCGCGUGAGUGAUGAAGGCCUUAGGGUUGUAAAGCUCUUUUACCAGGGAUGAUAAUGACAGUACCUGGAGAAUAAGCUCCGGCUAACUCCGUGCCAGCAGCCGCGGUAAUACGGAGGGAGCUAGCGUUGUUCGGAAUUACUGGGCGUAAAGCGUACGUAGGCGGUGACUCAAGUCAGAGGUGAAAGCCUGGAGCUCAACUCCAGAACUGCCUUUGAAACUAGGUCGCUAGAAUCACGGAGAGGUGAGUGGAAUUCCGAGUGUAGAGGUGAAAUUCGUAGAUAUUCGGAAGAACACCCGUGGCGAAGGCGGCUCACUGGACGUGUAUUGACGCUGAGGUACGAAAGCGUGGGGAGCAAACAGGAUUAGAUACCCGAGUAGUCCCUGAGCGGGCUGGCAAGGCGCAU